rnacentral:tRNA from 1 species
AAGGAAAUAGUUUAAUCUUAGGACAAAUACUAUACUGCAAGUAUAGAGAUGAGAAACGAAUCUUUCCUUU